GCCUCCUCUUAAGCUAUGUAGUCCCCUAGGUAUGGCGUGUAAAAACAAGUAAUUUGUAGUAGCCGUAGUAAACAGAUAAAGGGAGUAAGAUGUUAAUUUAGAUACAAGCAGUUUUAGAGUCCAAAUAAUGGUGCUUGGCGGUAAAUCCGGAUGAUUUCGACUUUUGUUUUCUUUGAUAGAUGACAAACAAACAGAAAGUGUUUGUACUUCUUGCAGUUUUAGGUCUAUAGUGAAGGAGGAAGGACUUGGUCCAAGCAUCUGCUAUCCAGGCUUGUGCUCUGUUCAGCCUCAUAUUUACAGUUUACAGAGAUUAAAAGAGGAGAUUCCUGGAGCUCUGCCUGGCUGGUCAGUGCUUGUAUCCCCAUGAGAGGAAGGCAACCUUGGGGAUUAGGCCAGUGUUGGUUCAGGCGGGUCCUGCGAAGACAGACAAAGAUUGUCAUGCUGCCAGAAGCUGGAGUCACUGAGAGGUGAAAGCUGCUGGCUGAGAGGACAGGCAGGAAAGUGGGACUCGACCUUUGCAUGGAAAAGACACCAGUCGAGGUGAGGGUCAUAAAGGUUGCCGCAGAAACUUAUGAGUGAUGAAUAGCACAGAGGCCAGAUUAAUGUGGUUAUUAUUGAUGAUGGAAACAUGAUAGGGGGAUUCAGGGUCCUGACGGAGAUACACUAGGUGACUCACCAAGGCUUAGGGGAAGGGUGUAGAUCAUAGACGGUUACUUAUGUGGCAUUUCAGGUUUAAGGAUAAACAGUAGUCACAAGCUUUGCAGACGAUAUGAAAUUCAAAGCCUAAAGAUGCCACCAGUAUUUUAUACUACUUCCAAUGCUAUCGUGUCUGUUUAGAUUGCUAGAUAUGGAUACAAAUGAAUAUUUCAUGUCACUGGAUGGCUGGCAGGUGCAUGGGCUAUUCAGUUUCAGAACAGGUCCUCUGUGACCCUACCAAAGAGGGACAGAACCCUUCAGCAGUAUUUGCCCUGACAAUGAGCCCUUGCCAUCCAAAAUGGUGUGUGUGUGUGUGUGUGUGUGUGUGUAUGUGUGUGUGUGUGUGUGUGUGUGUGUGUGUGUGUGUGUGUGUGUGUGUGUGUGUGUGUGUGUGUGU